GAGUGUAUAGCUCAGCGGUAGAGCACAUGCUUAGCAUGUCCAAGGUCCUAGGUUCAAUCCCCAGUACCUCCA
rnacentral:tRNA from 1 species